ACAAGUGAGAAGUGCUCCAAGGUU
rnacentral:siRNA from 1 species